GGACAACCCGGAGGGUAGCGCGAAGAUUCAUAGGAGGUUAAGAGAGGUUAAGUCCGUGGAGUCGGUAAUCACCUUGUAAUCUUUUCUCUUAGUGAAUUAUUUUUUCGCGUGUUGGUCCCGUGGGUUUUUCUCCAAGUUGGAGUUUUCCCACGUAAAUCUCGGUGUGCUUUUUAUUUUCCGCAUUUAUUUUUAUUGCAUCGAGAUUUGUGGUUUUUGGUUGUUACACCUAUUCACCCCCCUCUAGGUGAUAGAUACAAUCUAGAUAGAUCCUUGGGCUCCUCAAAACUUUCAAUACUUACCUCUGAAUUCCUUGCUUCACUAGAUUCUUCCCUGCUCCUAAGCCUUCUCAUCACCAACAUCAUCAACUUUAUCAAUUUCUCCAUCAAACCCCACCUUGUACGGUUUGAGAGAGAAAAGAAAGAGAUAAGAGGAAGGAGAGGAGAGGGAGUGGAUACGUAUGGAAGCUGCUGGGGUGCAGGGUUGCAGAUAAGAUCAGGAAAAAUUGCAACUACACCCCUCCACAUGGCUGACAUUACAUUUACUAUAAUACGGGUCCCAAUUCAGAAUCUGAAACCUAUCGCCGGAGCCUUCGUUUACGCUCAAAUUUGGCAGUCAGGCUCGAUUUAACCUACUGAGUAAAAAUAUAUCUUAACUUUUUAGUUUGGACCAUGUUUGGUCACCGAAAGCUCUACCGAACUGUAAUUUUUAACAGAUAGCAGUCGGAUUUUAUUUUCUAUCUUCCGGGUGUCAGAAUGACAUGAAACUUUAAAUCUAGCCUCAUAAAAAUAAUUAUGACAUAUUCUCCAAUUUUCAUAAUUUUCUGACACUGUGCAUUUUCUGCUAAAAUAUCAGCCCCGUUUCUCACAGAAAAUUCUAAAUAUUCUGUUUUCGUUCCAAUUUCAGCACAAGUCAUUUCGGACUUAUAUUUUACUUCUCUAAAUCCAAUAAAAAUAGUAUUUUACACUAUUUUUAUUUACAUCUAUUUUUAUAUUAAAAAUCCGGUAUAUUACAACUUCCCGUACGCGAAAAGUCCCUAGGCCGCAGGGAGGGCUCUCGGUGACCGGUCUUCCCGACCAGGGACCGGUCCCUCUGGGCGAAAACAGCCCAGUGACAGCUGCUUGAGAGAUGAAAAGUUGAGGGGUUUAAAUGCAAAAUGGCCUUUAUUAGAGAGGGCUGAGCCCCCUCUCUCCCUCACACUCUCAUAACCCCUCUCCAUCUCUCUCUCAUUGCUCUCUUGCUCUCUCUCUCUAGAAAGGAAAGGAGAAGAAGAAGAACAAGAAGGAGAGGAAGGAAAAGAAGAAGAAGAUAAGGAAGGAGAAGAAUAAGGAGAUCAAGAGGAAGGCUUUGGGCACCUUCAUCUCCCUCUCCUCUUCUCUUUGGUGUAGCACA
rnacentral:lncRNA from 1 species